rnacentral:lncRNA from 1 species
GUGUUUUAUUUUGGUUAACUUCCACCGUGCGCCUUAGCCUUGUGAUUGUUGGAUUUGUCACGUCAAUUAAUGAAGUCAGAUUCAACACUUCAUGUUUUUUUUAUUUUUGUUUUUCUUCUUUUUUAUUUUAAAUUGCAUUUUUUUUAAUUCAUAGAAAAUUCAUUUUGCAUCCAAAAAAUACCAAAAUAAUUUCUAAAAUUCUCUUUUAUUUUU